CAAUUUCAACUAAAGUUUGGAUUUAACAGGGAAUUAGUGAAGAUUUCCCCAGUCUGUCAUAGACAUAGAAAAGAUCAAAACCCUUUUCUAUAUUCAAAAAAAUUCGGCAAACAUCAUUUCCGAGGGAUAAGCAGGCUAUAUUUUCUAAAAAGAUAAGUAGGAAAGCAGGAAGUUGUUCAUCCGGAAAGAUCAAACUAACCAUCACAGUUUGAGCUCUCACAAGUUGCAG
rnacentral:lncRNA from 1 species